rnacentral:rRNA from 1 species
CUCUUCGGGGAUGAUUAAACCGGCGCACGGGUGAGUAACACGUGAGUGACCUGCCUUUUAGACUGGAACAACUUACCGAAAGGUGAGCUAAUGCCGGAUGAGUUAUAUAAGUGCAUGUUUAUAUAGGAAAAGUUGGGGAGACCUGACGCUGAAAGAUGGACUCGCGUCCCAUUAGCUAGUUGGUAGGGUAAUGGCCUACCAAGGCGACGAUGGGUAGCCGGCCUGAGAGGGUGGCCGGCCACACUGGGACUGAGACACGGCCCAGACUCCUACGGGAGGCAGCAGUGGGGAAUUUUGCGCAAUGCUCGUAAGAGUGACGCAGCGACGCCGCGUGAAUGACGAAGGCCUUCGGGUCGUAAAGUUCUUUCGACAGGGAAGAAAAUGCCUAUAAGUAACUGUGUAUGUAUUGACGGUACCUGUAUAAGCAGCCCCGGCUAACUCCGUGCCAGCAGCCGCGGUAAUACGGAGGGGGCGAGCGUUGUUCGGAGUGACUGGGCGUAAAGAGCACGUAGGCGGUGUUGUAAGUCAUUAGUCAAAGACUAGAGCUCAACUUUAGUAAGGCUAGUGAUACUAUAAUACUAGAGUAUCAGAGAGGAUUGCAGAAUUCCUGGUGUAGCGGUGAAAUGCGUAGAUAUCAGGAGGAAUACCGUUAGCGAAGGCGGCAAUCUGGCUGGAAACUGACGCUGAGGUGCGAAAGCGUGGGUAGCAAACAGGAUUAGAUACCCUGGUAGUCCACGCUGUAAACGAUGGAUGCUAGGUGUUGGGCUUUUAAGUUCAGUGCCG